AAACCAACAGGGAUUGCCUUAUAACGGCGAGUGAAGCGGCAAAAGCUCAAAUUUGAAAUCUAGUACCUUUGGUGCUCGAGUUGUAAUUUGAAGAUAGUUUACUGGUACUGGUCCUUGUCUAUGUCCUUGGAACAGGACGUCAUAGAGGGUGAGAAUCCCGUCUGAUGGGGUGUCCAGUACUUUGUAGAUUUCUAUCGAAGAGUCGAGUUGUUGGGAAUGCAGCUCUAAGUGGGUGGUAAAUUCCAUCUAAAGCUAAAUACUGGCGAGAGACCGAUAGCGAACAAGUACAGUGAUGGAAAGAUGACAAGAACUUUGAAAAGAGAGUGAAAAAGUACGUGAAAUUGUUGAAAGGGAAGGGUAUUGGAUCAGACUUGGUGUUUUGUGAUUAUCUUCCCUUCUUGGGUUGUGCACUCGCAUUUCACUGGGCCAGCAUCGGUUCGGAUGGCAAGAUAAAUGGCUUGGGAACGUGGCACUCUUC
rnacentral:rRNA from 1 species